AAAGCUUGGUCUCUCUUUUAUAUCGGCUAAUACUAAACUUACACAUGCAAACCUCCACACCCCUGUGAGAAUGCCCUCAAUUUCCCGUUCGGAGACGAGGAGCAGGCAUCAGGCACACCCCAAUAGCCCAAAACGCCUUGCUUAGCCACACCCCCAAGGGAACUCAGCAGUGAUAAAUAUUAAGCCAUGAGUGAAAACUUGACUUAGUUAAAGUAUUUUAGGGCCGGUAAAACUCGUGCCAGCCACCGCGGUUAUACGAGCGACCCAAGUUGAUUUACACCGGCGUAAAGUGUGGUUAGGCCCCAAUUCUUAAUAAAGUCGAACAUCUCCCGAACUGUUAUACGCACACGGAGACAAGAAGCACAAUCACGAAAGUGACUUUAAUACUCUGAACCCACGACAGCCAUGACACAAACUGGGAUUAGAUACCCCACUAUGCCUGGCCGUAAACCUUGAUGGUAUCUUACAACCUCCAUCCGCCUGGGUACUACUAGCGCAAGCUUAAAACCCAAAGGACUUGGCGGUGCUUCAGACCCCCCUAGAGGAGCCUGUUCUAGAACCGAUGAUCCCCGUUCAACCUCACCAUUUCUUGUUUUCCCCGCCUAUAUACCGCCGUCGUCAGCUUACCCUUUGAAGGCCUCAUAGUAAGCAAAAUUAGUAAAACUCAAGACGUCAGGUCGAGGUGUAGCGUAUGAAAUGGGAAGAUAUGGGCUACAUUCUCUAUGGUAGAGUAAAACGAAACGAUGCAAUGAAAUGUACAUCCGAAGGUGGAUUUAGCAGUAAGUGGAAAAUAGCAUGUUCAUGAUGAA
rnacentral:rRNA from 1 species